CAGUUGCUAAGCCAUAUUUCUGCUCUGAUGGAAAAAAAAAAAAAAGGAAGUGAGAAACAACUGGGAGAAAGCACCUAUCUCCCAUUCCACAGUAUUAGGAUGUAUUUCCUUUAACAUUGUCCUCUACUGUACUUCGAUGCAAAAAACCCUACAGAGGUGUAAAAAAUGCACCAUUCUCUGGAAUAAUUAAGUGUGAAUUGAUUAUAUGUUGCUUUUUGUACUACAUUAACAGAAAACUCAUGCUGUUGAAUGCAAGAUCAAGAACUGUUGAAUUUUGACCUCAGCACUGAUCUUCUGCUCUACCCUGACCUGCAUUAAGAAAAUCGGAUCAGAUGAUGCCAGCUAGACAAACUCAGUCCACUGGGUUUGAAAAGGCAGGGAGAGAAGGGUUUCAUGGAGGAAAUGGGUGGAGAGAAGGACUGAAAAGACAAGUAUCCUGACCACUAUCAUAAAACAUGCAUUGAAGCCUCUGGUUCCUCACAGCAUCGUCCAAAGUGUGUAGCAUCUCAGAGGACAUUUGCAGAUAACUUGCAGCUAGCACACAGGAGAUGGAUCUUAAUUCUUUCAUAUAGUUUCUGUGGCUAGUACUGGGAUUUGUCUUGGUAAGACAGGAGGUAACCAGAUUUGCUCCCUGAAAAGGAGCUAUCUAUAUGAAACCUCUUUUAAAAUGCUUCUGCUCUCUACAAGGGGCUAUAUACGCAUAAGAAACAUGUCCACACAAUAAUAUGAAGAAGGCCUAACUAUUCCACAUAUGGUGUUAGUUGUCUAAUUUUUCACUACAAAAGGAACAUCUUCCAAAGACCCAUUUUUUAGCUGUAAGAAGCUGCAAAGUUUGGAUUUUGUGCAAUAUUUUUGCACUGUUCUAUUCUUUCCUCUUUCCAUGCACAUUUAACACAUAAUC
rnacentral:lncRNA from 1 species